rnacentral:rRNA from 2 species
GGCGGACGGGUGAGUAACACGUGGGCAACCUGCCCUACAGACUGGGAUAACUCCGGGAAACCGGAGCUAAUACCGGGUAAUACAUAGCAUCGCAUGAUGCAACGUUGAAAGUUGGCCUUUGGCUAACACUGUAGGAUGGGCCCGCGGCGCAUUAGCUAGUUGGUAAGGUAACGGCUUACCAAGGCCACGAUGCGUAGCCGACCUGAGAGGGUGAUCGGCCACACUGGGACUGAGACACGGCCCAGACUCCUACGGGAGGCAGCAGUAGGGAAUCUUCCGCAAUGGACGAAAGUCUGACGGAGCAACGCCGCGUGAGUGACGAAGGCCUUCGGGUCGUAAAGCUCUGUUGUUAGGGAAGAACAAGUACCGUUCGAAUAGGGCGGUACCUUGACGGUACCUAACCAGAAAGCCACGGCUAACUACGUGCCAGCAGCCGCGGUAAUACGUAGGUGGCAAGCGUUGUCCGGAAUUAUUGGGCGUAAAGCGCGCGCAGGCGGUCUCUUAAGUCUGAUGUGAAAGCCCACGGCUCAACCGUGGAGGGCCAUUGGAAACUGGGGGACUUGAGUGCAGAAGAGGAGAGUGGAAUUCCACGUGUAGCGGUGAAAUGCGUAGAUAUGUGGAGGAACACCAGUGGCGAAGGCGGCUCUCUGGUCUGUAACUGACGCUGAGGCGCGAAAGCGUGGGGAGCGAACAGGAUUAGAUACCCUGGUAGUCCACGCCGUAAACGAUGAGUGCUAGGUGUUGGGGGGUUCCACCCUCAGUGCUGAAGUUAACACAUUAAGCACUCCGCCUGGGGAGUACGACCGCAAGGUUGAAACUCAAAGGAAUUGACGGGGGCCCGCACAAGCAGUGG